UACGUAGGGUGCGAGCGUUGUCCGGAAUUAUUGGGCGUAAAGAGCUCGUAGGCGGUGUGUCACGUCGGCCGUGAAAACCUGCAGCUUAACUGUGGGCGUGCGGUCGAUACGGGCAUCACUGGAGUUCGGCAGGGGAGACUGGAAUUCCCGGUGUAGCGGUGAAAUGCGUAGAGAUUGGGAGGAACACCAGAGGCGAAGGCGGCGACCUGGACAAGUACUGACACUCAACUGCGAAAGCGUGGGUAGCAAACAGG
rnacentral:rRNA from 1 species